UGUGGGAGCGAGCUUGCUCGCGAUUGGGGAGUGUCAGGCAACAUUCAUGCAACUGACGCACCGCUAUCGCGAGCAAGCUCGCUCCCACA
rnacentral:antisense_RNA from 1 species